AUCAGGGGUGCUUCGCCUUUUGGCGUGGCUGAGAACAGACCCUAAGAAUCUGAACCGGGUAAUGCCGGCGUAGAGAGAAUGAACAACU
rnacentral:ncRNA from 1 species